AGACACUGCAGGAGUUUCAACAACAUCUUCUUCUGAAUCUGGUAACAAGGUAAAUAAAAAUCUUCUACUACUGCAACCGUGAUAAGAUAGUCUAUUCAUUCCUCUUUACUAGUCUAUGAAUUGGCCCAGUGGAGCUACAAAGAAAUUCUCCUAAAGCAGGAGCCAAAUCAGCAGCCUUGCAGCCACUGUAAGGGGAAUACUAGGUUUGGAUCACCACAAAAAGCAAAAUCCCCGGAGAAACUGGCACUACAGAUGGUCUCUGACUUUUAUAUCUUUUCAACUUUAUGAUGGUGUAAAAGCAACAACUCUUCUGUUUUAAACUUUCAGUAUUCAAUAAAUUGCAUAAGAUAUUCAACA
rnacentral:lncRNA from 10 species